GUGCUGACUUUGGCAGCACAUAUACUAAAAUUGGAAUGUUACAGAGAAAAUUAACAUGACCCCUGUGCAAGGAUGACACACAAAUUCAUGAAGCGAGACAAAAAAAA